rnacentral:misc_RNA from 1 species
GAUAAGAACGUAGCGAAAUGCGAUACGUAAUGUGAAUUGCAGAAUUCAGUGAAUCAUCGAGUCUUUGAACGCACAUUGCGCCCCCUGGUAUUCCGGGGGGCAUGCCUGUCCGAGCGUCAUUGCUGCCCUCAAGCACGGCUUGUGUGUUGGGCCUCCGCCCCCCGGCUCCCGGGGGGCGGGCCCGAAAGGCAGCGGCGGCACCGCGUCCGGUCCUCGAGCGUAUGGGGCUUCGUCACCCGCUCCGUAGGCCCGGCCGGCGCCCGCCGGCGACCCCCCUCAAUCUUUCCAGGUUGACCUCGGAUCAGGUAGGGAUACCCGCUGAACUUAAGCAUAUCAAUAAGCGGAGGA